UUUGGCGACUAAUUUCAGGAUUUGGUCGUCAUAGUGAAACAUUUAGUCGCAUUGGCGCUUGUAUUAGGCGCAAUUUCACGCCCUGCCAUCUCAAGAGUUGUAAUUUUUAUGUCUUUUAGAUUUCUUGAACUUGUUGUCGGCCACUCAGCCUUUGCAAAAGUUUUUGAAGGAGGAAAUGAGAGUCUUACAGCUGCCAGCUAGAAGCAAAGUGAAAAAAGGUCUUAUAACAAGUCUAUCACAAGAUGUGGAUGAUUUCAGGCAUCAUAGUCACAAGAAAUACAAAUAAGCAGAAGUUAUUCCUCUUGCUUAGGAUCUUGGAAGAAUUUCAGAAGAAAAGAGAUUUUGUGGAACAGUACACACCACUUACCAAGGAGACA